UAAGGUUAAGUUAAUAAGGGCGCACGGUGGAUGCCUUGGCACUAGAAGCCGAUGAAGGACGUGACUAACGACGAAAUGCUUUGGGGAGCUGUAAGUGAGCAAUGAUCCAGAGAUGUCCGAAUGGGGGAACCCGGCAGGUAAUGCCUGUCACUCAUUACUGUUAAGGUAAUGUAGAGGAAGACGCAGUGAACUGAAACAUCUAAGUAGCUGUAGGAAGAGAAAGCAAAAGCGAUUGCCUUAGUAGCGGCGAGCGAAACGGCAAGAGGGCAAACCGAAGAGUUUACUCUUCGGGGUUGUAGGACUGCAACGUGGACUUAAAGAUUAUAGAAGAACUACCUGGGAAGGUAGGCCAAAGAGAGUAAUAGCCUCGUAUUCGAAAUAGUCUUUAUACCUAGCAGUAUCCUGAGUACGGCGAGACACGAGAAAUCUCGUCGGAAUCUGGGAGGACCAUCUCCCAACCCUAAAUACUCUCUAGUGACCGAUAGUGAACCAGUACCGUGAGGGAAAGGUGAAAAGCACCCCGGGAGGGGAGUGAAAUAGAACCUGAAACCGUGUGCCUACAACAAGUUCGAGCCCGUUAAUGGGUGAGAGCGUGCCUUUUGUAGAAUGAACCGGCGAGUUACGAUAUGAUGCGAGGUUAAGUUGAAGAGACGGAGCCGUAGGGAAACCGAGUCUUAAUAGGGCGCAUUAGUAUCAUGUCGUAGACCCGAAACCAUGUGACCUACCCAUGAGCAGGUUGAAGGUGAGGUAAAACUCACUGGAGGACCGAACCAGGGCACGUUGAAAAGUGCUUGGAUGACUUGUGGGUAGCGGAGAAAUUCCAAACGAACUUGGAGAUAGCUGGUUCUCUCCGAAAUAGCUUUAGGGCUAGCGUCGAUGUUAAGUCUCUUGGAGGUAGAGCACUGUUUGGGUGAGGGGUCCAUCCCGGAUUACCAAUCUCAGAUAAACUCCGAAUGCCAAUGAGAUAUAAUCGGCAGUCAGACUGCGAGUGCUAAGAUCCGUAGUCGAAAGGGAAACAGCCCAGACCACCAGCUAAGGUCCCAAAAUAUAUGUUAAGUGGAAAAGGAUGUGGGGUUGCACAGACAACUAGGAUGUUAGCUUAGAAGCAGCUAUUCAUUCAAAGAGUGCGUAAUAGCUCACUAGUCGAGUGACCCUGCGCCGAAAAUGUACCGGGGCUAAAACAUAUUACCGAAGCUGUGGAUACCUUUAUAGGUAUGGUAGGAGAGCGUUCUAUGUGCGAAGAAGGUGUACCGUGAGGAGUGCUGGAGCGCAUAGAAGUGAGAAUGCCGGUAUGAGUAGCGAAAGACAGGUGAGAAUCCUGUCCACCGUAAGACUAAGGUUUCCAGGGGAAGGCUCGUCCGCCCUGGGUUAGUCGGGACCUAAGGAGAGACCGAAAGGUGUAUCCGAUGGACAACAGGUUGAUAUUCCUGUACUAGAGUAUAUAGUGAUGGAGGGACGCAGUAGGCUAACUAAACCAGACGAUUGGAAGUGUCUGGCCAAGCAGUGAGGUGUGAUAUGAGUCAAAUGCUUAUAUCUUUAACAUUGAGCUGUGAUGGGGAGCGAAGUUUAGUAGCGAAGUUAGUGAUGUCACACUGCCGAGAAAAGCUUCUAGCGUUAAUUAUACUCUACCCGUACCGCAAACCGACACAGGUAGUCGAGGCGAGUAGCCUCAGGUGAGCGAGAGAACUCUCGUUAAGGAACUCGGCAAAAUGGCCCCGUAACUUCGGGAGAAGGGGCGCUGACUGAUGGUCAGCCGCAGUGAAUAGGCCCAAGCAACUGUUUAUCAAAAACACAGCUCUCUGCUAAAUCGUAAGAUGAUGUAUAGGGGGUGACGCCUGCCCGGUGCUGGAAGGUUAAGAGGAGUGCUUAGCGUAAGCGAAGGCAUGAAUUGAAGCCCCAGUAAACGGCGGCCGUAACUAUAACGGUCCUAAGGUAGCGAAAUUCCUUGUCGGGUAAGUUCCGACCCGCACGAAAGGCGUAAUGAUUUGGGCACUGUCUCAACGAGAGACUCGGUGAAAUUUUAGUACCUGUGAAGAUGCAGGUUACCCGCGACAGGACGGAAAGACCCCAUGGAGCUUUACUGCAGUUUGAUAUUGAGUAUCUGUACCACAUGUACAGGAUAGGUAGGAGCCUAUGACCUCGGGACGCCAGUUUCGAGUGAGGCGUUGUUGGGAUACUACCCUUGUGUUAUGGCUACUCUAACCCAGAUAGGUUAUCCCUAUCGGAGACAGUGUCUGACGGGCAGUUUGACUGGGGCGGUCGCCUCCUAAAAGGUAACGGAGGCGCCCAAAGGUUCCCUCAGAAUGGUUGGAAAUCAUUCGCAGAGUGUAAAGGUAUAAGGGAGCUUGACUGCGAGAGCUACAACUCGAGCAGGGACGAAAGUCGGGCUUAGUGAUCCGGUGGUUCCGUAUGGAAGGGCCAUCG
rnacentral:rRNA from 1 species